GGGGAACAGCAGUAGCUACAGUGCUAUCGCUGGGACGCGGUGUGCCUCUUUCCUUUGCCCUGUUGUUCUUCACGUUGGCUCCUAUUUCAAGCCCCAAACUCAGAGUCACAAGAUGGCUGCAGCAGCUCCAGGCUUCACAUCCCCUCAGCUUCAAGUCCUCUGGAAAGAAUGUCCAGCCCAUGACCUGCUGCCUCUCAUUGGUCCUUGAGCUCUCUAUCUCUGCACCUCCUAAAACCCUUGGAAUUUCCUAAGUGGAGAAAAGCAACCAGAGCUUGAGGAGAGCCCUGCCUCCUGCCUCAGGGCAGGCUGUUGGCCCAAGGGGGGUUGUGCCAGCCCCACCUGGCAUCCUGGCCACUGCCCUCAGGUAUCAUGAACUUGGCAGGGAACAAGGGUUCUUCCGCUGAAGCUGUGACCAGAUCAACUAGACAGCCACUUGGCAGCACCAUAUGGAUGUGCAUGGUGGUGUGUAUGCUUUAGUCCCUGCCUGGGAGGUCAGAAACUGGCGUGGCAAACCCAACUAGCAUUCCAAGAAAGAACAAUUGUGUUCAUGGUAGCUCAAGGAUGGAGGCUGGAGUGAUCCAGGGAGAAUUUCUGGAGAAGCUAGGAAGAUCAUUUAGGUCCUGGAAGGGAACAGACGGGGCACCAAGUGGGUUCCUGAGGAGAGAGAGCUCAGGGAAGUUUCACAAAGGGGACGGUGGGGAUGGAAGAAAUCCCCCUGGGUUGGGGUGCUCACCACCCUGGCUGGAAGGGGCAGGGCCAGGGAGUGUGUCAGAGCCUGGAGCUGGAGCAGAGGACCUGGUCUAGAGCUGUUGGCCAGGGUCCGAGGAGCAGGCCCUGCUAAUCCGUAGCUGAGGACUCAAUUCUGCACCUCCACCCCAACCUCAUGCUGGGCCCUUCCGUCGGAUGAACCCAAGCGGAAGCUGAGAUGCAGGGCAGGGCGGGGAGGCCGAGGAAGACAUCUAACCAGCAGGGGUUCCGUGGAUCCUAGCCUGCAUUUCAUCUCAGCAAUGUCUGGUGCAAAGCACAGCAGCCUCUUUUCACGAUCAUACUGCUCCUGUUUAAUCAGAAAAUGUGCCCGGCCCGGAACUCGGUGUGUGGCUUUAUUUCCAGCUGGAUGCCUCCCUUUCUCUAAGUGUUAGCAUCUGAACAGCCCCGCAUUUGGAGUAAGUGCUCCUUCUGCUCCUUUCCUU
rnacentral:lncRNA from 1 species